rnacentral:rRNA from 1 species
UGGGGAAUAUUGCGCAAUGGGGGAAACCCUGACGCAGCAACGCCGCGUGAGUGAUGAAGGUCUUCGGAUUGUAAAACUCUGUCUUUGGGGACGAUAAUGACGGUACCCAAGGAGGAAGCCACGGCUAACUACGUGCCAGCAGCCGCGGUAAUACGUAGGUGGCAAGCGUUGUCCGGAUUUACUGGGCGUAAAGAGUAUGUAGGCGGACAUUUAAGUCAGAUGUGAAAUCCCCGGGCUUAACCUGGGAGCUGCAUUUGAUACUGGGUGUCUAGAGUGUAGGAGAGGAAAGUGGAAUUCCUAGUGUAGCGGUGAAAUGCGUAGAGAUUAGGAAGAACACCAGUGGCGAAGGCGACUUUCUGGACUAUAACUGACGCUGAGAUACGAAAGCGUGGGGAGCAAACA